AUGCGGUAUGACGGUACCCUUUCGAAUAAGAGGUUGCUAACUCUGUGCCAGCAGCAGCGGUAAUACAGAGACCUCGAGCGUUAUCCGGAUUUACUGGGCGUAAAGCGUCUGUAGGGGGUUUGUUAAGUUCCAAGUAAAAUCUUAAGGCUCAACUUUAAGUUCGCUUGGAAAACUAAUAAACUGGAGUCCAGCAGAGGUGCAUGGAACUUGCGGUGUAGGAGUGAAAUCCGUUGAUAUCGCAAGGAACACCAAAGGCGAAGGCAUUGCACUGGGCUGGUACUGACCCUGAGAGACGAAAGCGUGGGGAGCAAAACGGAUUAGAUACCCGUGUAGUCCACGCCGUAAACGAUGGAUAUUAGAUGUUCGGGGAUUCGACCCCCUGGGUGUCACAGCUAACGCGUUAAGUAUCCCGCCUGGGAAGUACGGCCGCAAGGCUAAAACUCAAAGGAAUAGACGGGGAUCCGCACAAGCGGUGGAGCGUCUGGUUUAAUUUGAUAGUAAGCAAUGGACCUCACCAAGGUUUGACAUCCUAUGACAACCCUGGAAACAGGGCUUCCUUCGGGCAUAGUGACAGGUGCUGCAUGGUCGUCGUCAGUUCGUGCCGUGAGGUGUUCCGUUAAGUCGGGAAACGAACGAAACCCUCGUCGCAUGUUACAAAUUUCAUGCGAGACUGCCCGGGUCAACCGGGAGGAAGGCGGGGAUGACGUCAGAUCAGCAUGGCCCUUAUACCUUGGGCUACACAGGCGCUACAAUGGCCGGUACAAAGGGUUGCAAAACCGCGAGGUGAAGCUAAUCCCAUAAAGCCGGUCCAAGUUCGGAUUGGAGGCUGCAACUCGCCUCCAUGAAGUUGGAAUCGCUAGUAAUCGUGGAUCAGCCAUACCACGGUGAAUACGUUCCCGGAUCUUGUACUCACCGCCCGUCACACCAAGAGAGUUGGUAGCUCCU
rnacentral:rRNA from 1 species